rnacentral:rRNA from 1 species
GACGAACGCUGGCGGCGUGCUUAACACAUGCGAGUCGAACGGAAAGGCCCUGCUUUUGUGGGGUGCUCGAGUGGCGAACGGGUGAGUAACAAGUGAGUAACCUGCCCUUGACUUUGGGAUAACUUCAGGAAACUGGGGCUAAUACCGGCUAGGAGCUCCUGCUGCAUGGUGGGGGUUGGAAAGUUUCGGCGGUUGGGGAUGGACUCGCGGCUUAUCAGCUUGUUGGGGGGGUAGUGGCUUACCAAGGCAUUGACGGGUAGCCGGCCUGAGAGGGUGACCGGCCACAUUGGGACUGAGAUACGGCCCAGACUCCUACGGGGGGCAGCAGUGGGGAAUAUUGCACAAUGGGCGGAAGCCUGAUGCAGCAACGCCGCGGGCGGGAUGACGGCCUUCGGGUUGUAAACCGCUUUCGCCUGUGACGAAGCGUGAGUGACGGUAAUGGGUAAAGAAGCACCGGCUAACUACGUG